GAUAAGAUGGCUGAAGUUUUAGGUUAUAAAUUGUAAAUUUAUAUAUGGUACACACCUCUUAUCA
rnacentral:tRNA from 1 species